GUGUUUGCUUCAGUAGCACACAUACUAAAACUAGAACCAUACAGAGAAGAUUAGCAUGACUCCUGCACAAAGAUGAUGCAUAAAUUUGUGACGCAUUCCAUAUUUUU